UGCUGUAUGCCGCCGCCGCCGCCGCCGCCUCCCUGCACUCGGUUGGCAACGCGACACAGAUCGCAUCAACGCACUGCAUACAAACAGCGAUGAGUUCGUCCCUCGGCAAGGCCCUCCAACGCUCGAAGCGCGCGACGGAGCGGCAGGGGCGGCGCAACUACCGCGACGCCUUGGAGAAUGAGCGCAACGCCGCCCUGGAGGCGGAGCUGCACCAGCAGGAGAUCGGCCGCUCCAAGACACAGCUCAAGUCCAUCUGGGAGACGAACGACCUGGAGAACUUUUUAUCCAUCGCUGAUGCGCGCGAGGAGGGCUACUUUGCUGAGCGCGACGUGCGCGUCGUCAUUGGCGGCCGCGUGCACGUCGUGCAGCACGACAAGGUCGUCCCGCAGCAGAUGCCGACAGACGAGGCUCACGUGGACUGGCUGAAGCUAAGCGAGUUGCUGACGAUUCCGAAGCGACCGGAGUGGGACUGCAAAAUGUCCGCCGACGAGUUGCAGGCGGCGGAGAAGAAGGCCUUUGCCGACUGGCGCCGCUCCCUUGCGCAGAUGGAGGAGGAGCACAAGGUGCUGUUGACGCCGUACGAGCGCAACCUCGAGGUGUGGCGGCAGCUGUGGCGCGUCGCGGAGCGUGCCGACGUCGUCUCGGUCAUCCUAGACGCGCGCAAUCCGCUCAUGUUCCGCAGCUUCGACUUUGAAAAGUACGUACGGAGCACCAAAAACAGCAAAGGAGAGCCGAAGAAGGUGGUGCUGCUGCUCAACAAGUCGGACCUACUGACCGAGGCGCAGCGGCGGGCCUGGGCAGCCUACUUUCAGCAGCGCGGUGACGACUUCUUCUUCUUCUCUGCCAAGCCACUGCAGCCUCUCACCGCCGACGGCGCCGCCGCUGCUGCCGCCUCCUCGCACGCCGUGACCAGCAACGACGACGAGGAUGAGCUGGAGGAGGACGGCGAUGUCCCGCUUGACUCGGACGACGUGCAGCUCACGGCGGCGCAGAAGGCGGCCCUGGACAAGGUGAUGAGGCACAAAAAAGAGAAGACACGGCACCAGAAGAAGACGUUGCGGGCGCCGGUCGAGGUCAAGAAUCCGUACGAGCUCUCCGCGAUGCGCGAGGCCCUGAAGAGGCAGGCGCACGCGCCGAAGGUAAAGGAGGAGAGGCCGCUCACCGAGGAGGAACUGGCGCGUAACUCACGCACGGCGGCGGCGGCAUCGGCCGCGAAACGCGAGCCGUGGACCGUGCUCGAUCCGGUGCAGCUGCUGGACCAGUUCGCCCUUCUCCGCGAGGAAGCUGGGGUGACAGACAUGAACACGCCGCUGAUGGUCGGCCUUGUCGGCUACCCGAACGUGGGCAAGUCAUCCACCAUCAACGCCAUCCUCGGCUGCAAGAAAGUUGUGGUGAGUGCCACACCGGGCAAGACGAAGCACUUCCAGACGCUCAUGAUUCCCAACGAGCGCCGCGUGGCGCUAUGCGACUGCCCUGGGCUCGUCUUCCCCUCGUUUGCAACGACGAAGGCGCAGAUGGUAUGUGACGGCAUCCUCCCCGUUGACACGGCCACCGACACGCUGGAGGCGACGGCCACCAUCUGCCGCCGCCUGCCUCGCCCGGUGUUGGAGGGGGAGCUCAAUAUAUCACUACUGGCGGAGGACGACAUAGACGAGAGCGACUCCCUCGCCGAGCGGCUGCUGCAUGCGCUAGCACGCCGACGCGGCUACAUGGCGUCGCACGACCGUCCCAACAAGGCACGUGCGGGCAAGGAGCUGCUGAAGCUGUACGUGGACGGGUAUUUUGUGUACGUCGAGCCACCGCCUACCUACCGCCCCGACGCGGCGGCGCUGUCGCUGGACAGGUACACGGAACAGCAUGCCUCCGCCUCACCUGCGGCUGCGUCGUCUGCCCGCGGCGGCGGGGCGGCAGCAGAGGAGGGUGAUGAAGACUGGGAAGACGACGACGACGCGUCCGGGCACGAGCUGAACAGCGAGGAGGAAGAUGCGUGGGCCGAUCUCGACUCCGCCAACGAUGACCGAGCGUUGAGUGAGCCGGGGAACGGCGACAGCUACUCCGUCGAGAUGGACCUCGAGGACGCGGCGCCGCCCAUGUUCUAUGCCCGGCCGCAUGCGCUGCGCAGCACCUUCACCCGCUAUGAGCUCUUCAACAUGGAGGCGAACGAGGCCCGCAUAAGCGUGCUGAAGAAGGCGGAGCGGCGCCGCAAGAAGCGCACGAACCACCAGCUCGAGCCCGACACGUACACAUUUGUGAACCGCCAAGGUGAGGUGGAGCUGCGUAUCGAUGAUGACGACGGCGUGCUGGAGCUGGUGACGCCGACCGGUGGGCCGGUGCGGCCAGCGACGAAGGCAAAGCCCAAGUCGAAGCGCCAGCAGCGCCGCGAGCUGAAGCAGAUGGGCGUAGGUCCGUCGAACCGCUACGGGCAGCGUAAAGGCAUCGUGGAGUACUGACCGCCGGUGCCUUUGCUCUGUCUCGCAGCAGGGGUCUUUCUUGGGUGUCUCUGGUGCAGUUGUGUGUGUGUGUGUGUGUGUGUGUGUGACACGGUUAACAUGACCUCCCUCUGUCACCCCUGUGCGUGUGUGCGCGCACACACGGGUGCGCUACCUGUAAAAGGCGUUAAGGGGCUAAACCGAAAACGAAACUGAUAGGAAUGACAAGGAACGCGCCGCCCACGAGCGCAUGCGUGUGCCGCGCAUCCGCUUGAUCUGAGAGAGCGACCGCCUUGGUCAGAACCAGUUAGAAUGGAGGCGGGCUUGCACCAUCGGCUGGGGCGAUCAGCAGUGCAGAAGUAGCCGAAAGUGCGUCUGAGUGUGUGUAUGUGUGUGUGUGUGUGCGGUUGGGUGUGUACUGCCUAGCGCCCCAUCGUCAGCCACUCAAUAUCCCCCUCCCCCCUCACCACCACCACCUCUACCGCAG
rnacentral:misc_RNA from 1 species